ACUUUGUUACUGAACUUAAGUACAUUUUUCAUGUUUCUGUACGUAAGUAGAUUUAAUCGUGGGAACUUUUACUCCACUACAUUUUACAGUAUCUGUACUUUCUACUUCACUACAUUUCUAUAAAGUGUUGCGUUACAAGUUACAUCCAAGUCGCUUUGAGCUUUUUGAUUUGUUGAUUAGUUUUAAAGUAAUCAGUGAUUCUGGUGCCUUUGCCUCCCUGAUAUCAGCACCAACUGUCCUUCCUUCAUCCACUGCAGUUUGCGAUCCAAAUGUUGGACUGUUCCUGUCUCAGUGGAGGACAAUGUGUGUCUGAGAGACAUGUAAUGUCCAUGUUUGCUGCUGAAAGAGACUGAUGGUCUGACCCCCCUCCUCCUUUCAGGGUGGAGCCUGCUGGAGUCCAAUUCCUGACACCAGGUCUGAGGAAAUAUUCCUGUCAACUCACCAUCGACACAAACACAGUGAGCAGAAAACUCAAACUGUCUGAAGACAACAGGAAGGUGACAUGGGUGGAUGAGCUUCAGUCAUAUCCUGAUCAUCCAGACAGAUUUGAUCAUCAUCAUCAGCUGCUGUGUAGAACUGGUCUGACUGGUCGCUGUUACUGGGAGGUCGAGUGGAGAGGAUAUGUUUAUAUAUCAGUGAGUUACAGAAGAAUCAGGAGGAAAGGAGACAAUGCAGAUUGUGUGUUUGGAUGGAAUGAUCAUUCCUGGAGUUUGAGCUGCUCUGAUGAUGGUUACUCUGUUUGGUACAAUAAAAGAGAAAUUCGUCUCUCCUCCUCUGUCUCUAACAGAGUAUCAGUGUAUGUGGACUGUCCUGCUGGCAUUCUGUCCUUCUACAGAGUUUCCUCUGACUCACUGAUCCUCCUCCACACCUUCAACACCACAUUCACUGAACCUCUGAUUCCUGGAUUUAGGUUCUGGUUGUUCAGUUCUGGUUCUUCAGUGUUUCUGUGCUGAUUUGAGUCUAAAGAGUUUAAAGAUUUUCUUCCUGUCAGAGAAACUCUCUCACUGUUGAACAGAUAGUUCAGUCUCUACAAUCUAUUUCUUGGUGAAACAAUUCUGAUUGAAUCCUUGGAAACUUUUUCUUCUUCCAGUCCUUUAAAUAUGGAAGUUGGGAUUAUUCCAGGAUUAUUCCAGGAUUAUUCCAGGAUCCUCAUGUUAUUUUAUCUGUUUCCAGUCAAAGCUUCACACUGAAUAUCAAAAUGUUGUUUCUAUAAAUUUUUCCUUUCAUUCAUCAGAUUUCAUUGAAAUGUUGAUCAGUUUUUCUCAAUCACUGAUUAUUUUCUGUUUCUAUCGGCACCUAUUUGGGGAACUUGUGAAUGAUUACAUUAUUUAUCAUACUUGGUUCUGCUUAAAAUAAUUAAAUUAAACUGAAUUAUUCUAUUGUCAUUAUUGUACUUACAUUUGGGAGAUUGAACAUUUAUAUUUUAUUAAGUUUUUAAAAUAAAACUUUAAAAAGUUCAUAAAAUCAAAUCAAUCUACUGAACAUUCUGAUUUUAUGAGGAUCUGUUUGAAAUGUUUGUUACAAAGUUAAUUAAUUUUUAUGUGAAUUAAAUUGUUGUGUUUAAUUUGUGUUUUUUGUAAUGAACUGUUACUGGAUGUAAAACUAUUUUUAUUUUUUAAAGGAUUUUGACCCGUUUACUGGCCGACAUUUAUUCUAUAAAUCAUUUGGUGACCAAUUAAAAAGUAAAUGUAUUGAACUAAAAA